ensembl:lncRNA
CAGGGGUGGAAGAAGGAAGUAACUGAGGAGCUCAUGGGCAGCGCCUGUCACAAAAAGCAAGCAUGAGGAAGCAGUCCUUCCUCCUCACUAAAUCUAGAGUGAGGCCAGCCGGCUGCUGAUGCCAGGCUCUACACUGCCAGGGUAGGCUGAUGUGAGGCUGCAGGCAGCAAGGCUGUCAUGGGAACCACUGAUGCUGAAUGCUGGAAUCCACCCUGCUCUCAUCAAGUUUGCCAGCUUGAUAUCUAACCACAAUCUUUUUUUACUUGUAGUGCAAUUUUCAGAAUCCACUGAAGAACCUUCAGUGGUCUGCAGCAGGGUGGGAUCCAAUGUUGUAAUGCCAUGUCAGCCGAUAUGUUGUCCGAAGCCAGUGAUUGAACCUAUCUGUUGUCCACAACCAGUGGUUGAACCUGUCUGUAUUCCACAGCCAGUGAUUAAACCUGUCUGUUGUCCGGAGCCAGUGAUUGUUCCUGUCUGUUGUCCGAAGCCAGUGAUUGAACCUGUCUGUAUUCCGCAGCCAGUGAUUAAACCUGUCUGUAUUCCGCAGCCAGUGAUUAAACCUGUCUGUUGUCCGAAGCCAGUGAUUGAACCUAUCUGUAUUCCGCAGCCAGUGAUUAAACCUGUCUGUUGUCCGAAACCAGUGAUUAAACCUAUCUGUUGUCCGAAGCCAGUGAUUGAACCUAUCUGUAUUCCGCAGCCAGUGAUUAAACCUGUCUGUGAGUUCCUCCUGGUUUUCUACUGUUUUCCUGUUAGUAUUGUUAUGUGUUCCCUGCCCAUUUCUACUCUGUGUGCAGACACCUCAGAUGUGUGACCCUCCCCUCUGCCCGUUGCCUUUGUCACCCAGCCCCACCGGGCACCAGAUUGUUUGUCCCAUCAAGUAGAGCCCUAAACAGAAGACAAAAACAGUGCCACAAGGAAAUGCUAAGCCCCUUCUCUGUCUUCCAGGUUGUCCGAAGCCAGUGAUUAAACCUAUCUGUUGUCCGAAGCCAGUGAUUGAACCUAUCUGUUGUCCGCAACCAGUGACUGAACCUAUCUGUUGUCCGCAGCCAGUGAUUGAACCUGUCUGUUGUCCGAAGCCAGUGCCUGAACCUGUCUGUUGUCCGGAGCCAGUGAUUGAUGCUAACUGUUGUCCGCAGCCAGUGAUUGAUCCUAACUGCCCGUGUUCGAUGCCAUUAACAAAACCUAGACCACCUAUAUUAGUGAGACAAGACACAGUUCAUGUAGCAGUGCCUGUCUGUUGCACGGAUAGAAAACUUCCCAAAAAGCCACUAGUAUGCAGGGAUUCUUUGAAGAAGAGCAGAUGCCAUCUGAAGAGUGAGUGUGGGACUCCAACGAGGUGCGACUCCCCCACCAGGAACAGAUCUGUACUGCUAGAGUGCGAGCCCCGUGAAAGAGAAAGAAAGUGUUCAGGUGGCGUUCUAAAGAGACGCGAUUCCCAGACAGGAAUUCCAAGAAGACUGGAAUCUCAAGUAAGGUUUGCCACAGGACCCGAUAAUGAAAUUUCAUCUAAAGCCCAUUGUUGUGAGCCACCAGUUUGCAGAAAUCGGGAAUCCCUCAGGAAGAAUGAGGACGGCAUACUGAAGAAACAGGAUUCACAGAGGACAAGGCCUAAGAAAUGCCGACUAGAACCACAAGAAAGGUGUGUUGUUCUGCCUCCUUGCUAUCAGCCAGGGGCACCUCCGGCUCCACGUGGGCCAUAGGGGCUUCCACUGUGAUCUUCAGGAUCAAGCUGUGUCCCUGCCCUCACCCCGGUGGAACACAGUUACAAAAUCCAUUUCCUCUAUACAUCUUCGUUUUCUGCUAUUCAGAAGUUUGCCGUUAUUAGACUUCCCUGACACAAACUACAUCUUCCAAAUUUUUUCUGUAAGCCAAUACGUAUAUCUACUCCAACGAAGAAAGACAGUGUUCUCAGAAAUAAAAUGUCUUUACUAAAUACCUAAUUAGUUCUUUUGACAGUGUUCUAUCUCUAGCUCACCCAGUUGACCUUAUGACCUUGAUGGCUGCAAAUGCUUUAUGAUCCACCAAAAAAAAAAAAAAAUACAUAGGAAAUAAAGUCAGACCUCCCGCAACCAAGCAGUUUAUGACAGAAAUGGUGGCCAUGUAAGCACAAUCAUUUUUUUAAGAGUCAAUUUUAAAAUGUGUCCAAAAGUAGUUUAAGUGGUCUGGAAAGAGUUUAGAGAUAAGAGAGUCAGAAAUCAGUCGGUAGAGCUUGGGACUCUUAAUCCCAGGGUCGUGGGUUCGAGCCCCACGUUGGGCGCCAAAAUGUUAUCUUUUGUUUAAAAAGAAUAGAAAUGCUGAGGCAUGACACAUAUUGACUAUAAGUUUAUUAUAGGCCCGGCAGAGUAUGGAGACUAAGAGAAGAAGAACAGGAUAAUGGCUGACCACCAUGGCCGGUUGCCAUAGAGAGACAGAGAGAGAGCAUAGGUGGGAGACAGAGUAGAGAGAAAGCAGAGACAAAGCAGAGCGGGGGAACAGAGAGAGGAAACAGAGAGCGUAAAUGGGCAGGGACCUGUCUUUUAAAGGGGUCCUCUGCACCUGCGCGCAGACUUAGUUCCCAUGGAACCUUGGGCUGACCAGGGUACUGCCUGUUCCACCAGGUAAUAGGGGCAGGCCAGCAUAAUGCCUGAACCUUUCAGGCAUAGCCCUGUGAGUCUGAGGUCAGCCUGGUCUACACAGCAGUUCCAGGCCAGCCAGAUAUACAUGGUGAAAUUCUACCUCACUACUACUAAUAAUAAUAAAUUAAAAUAAAAAUUUGAAAGUUCUUAUCUCCAGCAAGAGACAUAACCCAACAGGGGGCUGUGAGGGGUCCUCUCCGUUUCUCAUGUCCUCUUGAUUGCUGUCCUCCUGUCCUGCCUCAGAAAGAGAGGAAGCAGUUGGCUGGUGGCUCAUGUGCAACGCUGCCUUCAGCCAAACCUGAGGCCAGGACCCUCCCAAGUCCUGUGACCUCCAUACAUCGUACACGCACACAGACACACUCACACACAUGUGCACACACACGUGCACACACACGUGCACACAGAGACGCGUGCGCAAGCGCGCACACCACACACGUGCACACACGCACAGACACCACACACACACACCACACACGUGCACACACGCGCACAGACACCACACACGUGCACAUGCACUUGCGCGCACACACGCACGCGCAUCCACACGCCACAAGCACGUACACAUACACACGUAUUGACACUCACCACACACGCACAACACACACACACACACACACACACACACACACUCCCCGCCAUUGCCUUCUGCUCAUUUCCCAUUCACGCCCACCCGCGCCCCCUCCGCACCGCCCC